UACGUAGGGUGCGAGCGUUGUCCGGAAUUAUUGGGCGUAAAGGGCUCGUAGGCGGUUUGUCGCGUCGGGAGUGAAAACCAGGUGCUUAACACCUGGCUUGCUUUCGAUACGGGCAGACUAGAGGUAUUCAGGGGAGAACGGAAUUCCUGGUGUAGCGGUGAAAUGACGCAGAUAUCAGGAGGAACACCGGUGGCGAAGGCGGGUCUCUGGGCCGUAACUGACGCUGAGGAGCGAAAGCGUGGGGAGCGAACAGG
rnacentral:rRNA from 1 species